GUUUAUUACUGAUGUGUUUCAAGGCUAUGUAUGGAUAUUUGAAACUGUCGCGUUCAGGAACAAGAUAAUAGGUCUAAUGUGUCAGGUGCUUAUAAUGAAGCUCAACUUUAGUAAGGCAAAAUUCUUGGAAGCUCUGUAUGUUCACUUUAGCGCUCACAAUCUGAGUUUGGCAGGUGUGCACGCAGUUAAAUCAGCCAUUGAGAUCAAAUUAUUUUUUAAAAAAAGUAGAACCUUGGAAGGUAUUUUUUAAUCUUGCCCGAUGGAAGAUUCUCACUGAGGUGACAGAAAUUUUAUUGCAUAAACUUUUUAUAACAAGAUAGAGCUCUCGUACUUACUUGAUUAAAUCUUUUGUUAAGAAGCCGAGAGAAAUGUUUGCAGUUCCUAAACAUGUCAUUUUUCCUAAAACAUGGAUCUGACCAGUGAGCUGCUCAACCAAAUAAGAGACUUAAAAAAUGAUUAUUUUCCUUUGAAUUUGUAUUGCUAGUUAGGAUUUAGUACAAAACUAAUACUGUUGUUAACGACGUUAAUCGUCUUCUAAAAUCUGAACCAAUUACCUUUGAUGACAAGCUCUUUAUUUGAUUAGACAGCUGGUGGAAAAUUUUAAAGGGAUUAAGGGCUCUUGAUUGGAAAACUUCCAACCAAGAGGCUGUAGCUGUAGCUGGACCAUUAGAAUUUGAAGCUGAUUUCUCUACUAAAAGAAGCUGAUCUCUCUACUAAAAAAUUAAAGCACUUUCACGAUAAUAGCCAAAGAAAAGAAUUCAAAGUGAACGUUUUUGAUGUUGGUGAAGAUAGUCUGAUUGAGCAGAUUGAUUCAAGAAUAAAGGCGAGUAGGAUGGUUUGUAAUACGUUCUAAUUCGCCUGGUUGAUUAAUAAUGAUCUUUCCGUUUAAAAUAAAGCUUCAAAACUUGAUGAGUUUUAUCCUGGAGGUGUGAACAAAGAGAAUCUCAUUGGAGAAGUUUAACUACUCAACCAAAUCUUUGAAAAGAAGCUUGAAAAGUUUUAACGCUUUUUUUUAUACAUUUACAUCACACUCCGGAUUUAAAACACUAUUCCUGAGUCUGUUGCUGAGGGUGAACGAAUAUUUAGUAAACUAAAAAUUGUAAAGAACCCUCUCCGUUCAACCAUGGGCCAGGAUCACAUUACUGAUAUUCGAAUAUUUUAAUUGAAGAAGAUUCGGCUAAAAAGGAGAGUCUGCUCUGUGUAAAACUUGUGGAAAUAAGCUUGCCACAAAGCAAGCAAAUACUAUUGGCUUGCGAAAGCAUAUUCAGACACAACAUAGGAAGUUAUUCAUCAAACAUCAAAAGAAAGAAGACGAGCAGAAAUCACAAGUAGAUGAAGAACAAAACGUAAUCGAGGCAGGCCUUUCUGGAUCUGCAAAGAAUAUUGCGUUUAAAACUCUCACUUUUCCGAAGAAGGAGUUUACGAAAAAGUGGUACCCUAGAACUGAAAGAUGCUUUUCAUUAAGCCAGCUCACUUAAUACCAGGCUUCAUAAAUCAACAGCCUUCAGUGCUUCGUUAAAAGAUGCUUGUUAGAUGUGAAUUACCUCAAAAUACCCUCCACAGUAACCACGAGAUAGAACAGUCAUUAUACUAUGCUGCACACCAUGCUUUAACUGAAGGUUAAAGUCCACUCAUAUACUUACGUGAUACAGAAGGUGAUGAUUAGAAGUAAACAGUACCUACAAAUAAAUAGUUCCUACUUUUUGAAGCUAUUAUUCCAGUGCUAAAAUCUGCUAAAGAAUUAUCAGCUUUUUUAUUUUCUGAAACAGAGAAUUGACAUGUCACUAUGGAAAGUAACAGCACUCAUUAACUUCAUCGAAAAAAAAAUAAAAUAACCAUUUUACUGAGGAAAACGACGAAUUAGUAGAGAAAUCUUUGGAAGACUUAUUAUCAGAACUAAAUAAGAGAUUACCAGACAAAGACCGUAAAUUACCCGCAUUUGCACUGAGACAUUACCUCCAUCCAUUUUUCCGUUAUAUGAAAAAUAAAUGGAAAAAAAACAAAAAAUAAUAAGGAUACUACAUCACAUCAUGAAAACCUAUUAAACUAGAAACGGAAAAAUACCAAAAAACAAUAAAAUCCAAAAAUGCAAGUAAAGUUGACACAUUGGCAUGGUGGAAGCAGCAUACACCUGAACUUCCUAUCCUUUCAGGUGUUGCAAGAUCCUGUUUGGCAACUCCACCAACCCCUGCAUCAUCUGAAAGAGCAUUUUCUGCUAUUAUAUCUACCAUCACAACUGAUGGUAGAUACAAUCUCGAUAGUGACAAGGCAGAUUAUAAAUAUAAGCUUGUAUUUAUAAUGCAGAACUAUUCCGCUCUUGAGAGUUACACCAAAAAAUGGCCUAUCGAACAAGAAAACGAAAGUGAAAAUAAUAUAGGACAUGAAUUAGACUUAUCUUUGCCAAGAUUAAUAGAAUUUUUUUGCCAAUAUUAAUAGAAAUUCUAAAAUACCAACGAAAGUACAGCAAUGGGAAAAACAACAAAUGGAUAAAGUAUUGUAGAUGUAAAAAAUGCAAUUAUACUUGUAUUUUGUUAAUAAAAAAUUGAAGUUA